UGUACCGUGCUGACGUCAGACUGUUUGUUUGUCUAUGUGUUUGUUUGUUUUGGCGGCGGAUUACGUUGUCAAAAUGUGGAGCUGUGGUCGGAAAUGAUAAUGAAACCCAGUAUUCAUCUUAAGUAUAGUAUUGCGUUGAGGUGAUGUGAUGUGAGAACCCGCAGCUGCCUGGUUCUAAAUCCACCCAGUCCACACUGAGCACUGGGAUCAGUUUAGGAGGCGUCAUGUGUGCGUGCACCUGAUGGACACACGCACGAGCACGACACUCUCUCACGCUCAACUUUAGUUCUCUAUAAAGUGCUGAGGGAAACCUCUGGCUCUUUAGCUGCUAAACGAACCGUAGCAAAAAAAGCUGCAGACUGUCCACGCAAAGCAACGAGCUGCAGGAGGUGACGGGCUGACAAUUAACUCCAGCGCAUUGAAUAGUUUGCACAGUGCAUGUAUCAUGUCUCAUUAAAAACGGAAUUCUUAAAUCAUAUAUAUUUUCAAAACGUGUGUGUGUGUGUGUGUGUGUGUGUGUAUAAAAUAUGUUAGUCUGCAAUAAGAGCAUAAAGAGACAGCACUUCUCCAGUCAAGUUAAAAUGACAUAUGAGGAGGUGUAGGUGCUGAGGUCCCUGAGGCUCUGACCACUUAUCACAGGUGAAGGAGGAGUUUAAGGAAGAACAGCUGCAGGAGCGUUAUCUGCUUUUGGAAUAUUAUUAACAGCAACAACAAUGCCGUAUCUGGCCGGCGCUGCCCAGAAGUGUUUCUGUCAGAGAACAGUCAGAGGGAAGGAGUCCUUUUUUUGUCCAGGAUUUCAUCAGCAGAUCAAGCUUUUCAUCAUCGCCUGAGAGUAACAGAUCUCCACACCGCUGUAACGUUGCAGCACGACGCACUGGAGGAGUGUUGAACCAGCGCUUCAACCGGUCUGACAUUGUUUCCCCAUUAGGUGUCCUCCACUGGACGUCCACUAUUUGAUUUUCUGGAAUCAACAACUACCGGUAAUGAUUGUUGUUCCUGACCUGAUUUACAUGUGCCACUCACAUAAUGUAAAGGCAACAGGUCAGAACACUUGCUUAUGCAAAACGCUCACGCAUUGGUUA
rnacentral:lncRNA from 1 species